AGUAAGGUAGUCUAAAGAGUAGAAAAGAUGGUAGGUUGUGGUCCUUCAGUUGGACCGUGAGGUUCUCUUACUA
rnacentral:tRNA from 1 species